ACGGCCGAAUUAGUUAUUAUCGAUUUCGUUAUCGAUUGGGGCCUCGUUCAAAAUCAUUUAAGAAGUCCUUUCCUUUUCAGGCCUGGAGGUAUACCAGGUAUAUAAUAUAUACCAGGUACCUAUAGUUUUUGAAACGAUCCAUUGAAACUCAAGAAUUAUUUUUGUAAUUUUUGUGGAAUUACAAACAUAAUUCUUGAUUUAACUGCUUGAAUAUCAACAAAGCCUUGCAAAAGAAAAUCCUUGCUUUUUAGCUGAACAAUCGAAUGUAAUAAAUAAUAUUUACGAGUAUGUAUACCUGGGACAUACAAUCCAGCUAGG